CUCAUAUCAUUCAGGCUGGCCUUGUGUGGUUGAAGAUGCCCCGAACUUCUGAUCUGCCUGCCUCCUACUUCCUGAGUGCAGGGAUUACAGGCGUGUGCCAUCAUGACCAGUUUAAACUCAAUUUGAACCAGCAGCAAAGCCGGGCGUUCUCAGAUGGCUACUCAGAACCCAGUUUGAAAGAAGAUAUAUCCCAUGGAUGCUGCUUCUCCAGUGCCAUACCUGCCUGUCUGCUGCCAUGUUCCCUGCCAUGAUGAUUGUAGUUUCCAACAUCCUGAAACUGGAAGUUCGAGACAGGGUUUCUCCGUGUAGCCCUGGCUGUCCUGUAUUCACGCUGUAGACCAGGCUGGUCUUGAACUCACAGAGAUCUGCCUGCCUCUACCUCAUGAGCGCUGGAAUAAAGGCAUGCACCACCUCUCCUGGCUGCAUUUUCUUAAUUAGUGAUGUAUGCGGGAGGGCCUAGGCCAUUAUGCCUGGUUCCACCCCUAGGCUGGUUGGUGGUCCUGGCUUCUAUAAGAAAGCAGGCUGAAUAAAGUGUAAUUAAUAAAAAAAAAAAAAAAAAAAAGCAGUCUGAGAAAGUCAUGGAGAACAAGCCGGUGAGCAGCUCUCCUCUAUGGCCUCUGCGUCAGUACCUAACACCAGGUUUC